AUGAAUAAACUUGGUCGAGCUGUUGCUGGUCUUUCGGGACAUGUGCACGCUUGCCACCAAUUUUAAUCCCCUGUGCACUUUUUGUAGACUCAGAAACGCUUCUCGAGGCAACUCGGAUUGAGAACUGCUGUGCGCAAGCCCAGCUGUUCUUGUGUUUCUUAGUCUAUGUCUUCAUAUACUCCGAAUGUGUAUGUAUCUGAAUGUAUUGCUGGGCCUUAGCGCCUUUAAAAACAAUA
rnacentral:misc_RNA from 1 species